GGGAUGAGGCUCUCCUUUUUUGUUUUGUGCGCCAUCUCCUUAUGUUUUUCUGUGGGUGUUAUUUUGGUUUUUUUGGCUUGUGGGCUCCCUAAUUAUGGAAAUUGGUCUCCAGUAUCUGUAUUUGUUCUUCAUAUUAUCUCUCCCUUGCCUUUGUUGAUAAACCAACAUAAAUCGGAUCACUUGGACGAUGAUGACUUCAAGAGUCUAGAGUUAAGUACCUUCUGCUCCUCGUUUCUAGCGACUUCCAGUUUCGGCCUUCCAAUCAUAUUGGCUCAUUCGCACUUCAUAAAAAUUGGUGCCUCCAUCUUGGUUUUAGUUGGCAAUCUCCUAAUUUACGGUUCCAUGAUCAGCUACGCUAUUAUUUAUAAAAAAGAGUAUGAAAAUCUCUUUUAAUACUUCU